rnacentral:lncRNA from 1 species
UUUCAGUCUGGGAAGAGUUAUCAAAGGAAGAAAGACACUUUGCAUUUGUGUAUGUAUAUGGAUACUAGAACUCCUCAUACUCGAAGCCAAUCAGCUCUUCUGCAGUAACCAUUACAUGUGUCUGCUCCUGUCUCAUGGUUUGAAAACCAAAGCAAAGUGUGGAGCGUAUGGCCCAGAAAACAGCCGUCCAAACUCCUGCUUGCUCCAGCCCAUUUCAAGGGUUCAGAGAGAGCAGAAGAAUACUUACUGGCACUGGACCUGCUCCCCUGGCCUUCUGCCUGAGGAUGUCAGAUGCAGAAAGAUGAGAAUACCAGCGACACGGAGGUCUGCCACCAAAGCUGCCAAUGACUGGGCAGCAACCUGAAAGGAACUUUUAAGAGACAGUGAGUCUUUUAAGACAUGGCCAGUGAGUGUGAGAUCCCUGGUGAUGGAAGCGAGAGAAGCAGCCAGAGUGAGCUACUGCAAGCCCAUGAGGAGGCAUGGGGAAUCUGAUCAGCAGUGAGUGGAGACAUCCAAUGGGCAAGAAAGAGAGAGAGAGAAGAAGAGUCAGGACUAGAUCCUUUCAGACUGGUGGCAGUAAUGAGUUGCCUGGGCAAUAGAGUUCCAGAGCUGGAGCAAUGGGAGGAUUUAACUGGCUGUGACCAGGUGCAUUGACAAUGCAAGACUUCGGGAAUAAAGACUGGCCUGUUUGGAAUGGAAAAG